rnacentral:rRNA from 1 species
AUCGAACGCUGGCGGCAGGCUUAACACAUGCAAGUCGAGCGGAGAGAGGUAGCUUGCUACUGAUCUUAGCGGCGGACGGGUGAGUAAUGCUUAGGAAUCUGCCUAUUAGUGGGGGACAACAUUUCGAAAGGAAUGCUAAUACCGCAUACGUCCUACGGGAGAAAGCAGGGGAUCUUCGGACCUCGCGCUAAUAGAUGAGCCUAAGUCGGAUUAGCUAGUUGGUGGGGUAAAGGCCUACCAAGGCGACGAUCUGUAGCGGGUCUGAGAGGAUGAUCCGCCACACUGGGACUGAGACACGGCCCAGACUCCUACGGGAGGCAGCAGUGGGGAAUAUUGGACAAUGGGCGCAAGCCUGAUCCAGCCAUGCCGCGUGUGUGAAGAAGGCCUUAUGGUUGUAAAGCACUUUAAGCGAGGAGGAGGCUACUUUAGAUAAUACCUAGAGAUAGUGGACGUUACUCGCAGAAUAAGCACCGGCUAACUCUGUGCCAGCCGCCGCGGUAACAC